AUACUUACCUGGCGCGGGGGAUACCGUGAUGAAGAAAGGAUGGCGGUGCCUCCAGGACGAGCCUUGUACAUUGCACUCCGUAUGGGCUGACUCCUGCGACUACCCCAAAUCGGGGUGGCUUCGAGCGCAUAAUUUUUUUGGUAGUGGGGACAAAGCGUCGCUGCUGUCCCUUU
rfam:Macrostomum lignano unitig_33424, whole genome shotgun sequence.